CUCGCAUCGAUGAAGAACGUAGCGAAAUGCGAUACCUGGUGUGAAUUGCAGAAUCCCGCGAACCAUCGAGUCUUUGAACGCAAGUUGCGCCCGAGGCCGUCCGGCCGAGGGCACGCCUGCCUGGGCGUCACGCCAAAAGACGCUCCACAAGCCCCCGCAGCGUGC
rnacentral:rRNA from 1 species